GUGAUUUAAAUGAGAUUUCCACCCUGGAAGCAAUUGCUGAGAAUGACAAAAUAAUUGGAAGACUGACCAUGGAUCUGCAGGAACGAGGGAUUCAUUUUUCAGUAAUUUAUACUGCAGUGAGACCUUCAAGGAUUUCUAGAAAAACUGAUGUGGUGUGGGGAUUAAGACGACAGUUAAUGGCCACUGAGGAAGAAGACAGUUUAUCAUAUCCUCCUCUGAAUGUGACCACUGGAAAUGAUACGUGCAUCCUUUUUUACGCUAGAAAUUUCAGCCUUAAAGCCAACAAUUCAGUUUUUAUAGAUUUGACAAAUGCAACAUUUAUAACCCAG
rnacentral:lncRNA from 1 species